rnacentral:rRNA from 1 species
AGAGUUUGAUCCUGGCUCAGGAUGAACGCUGACAGAAUGCUUAACACAUGCAAGUCAACUUGAAUUUGGGUUUUUAACUUAGGUUUGGGUGGCGGACGGGUGAGUAACGCGUAAAGAACUUGCCUCACAGCUAGGGACAACAUUUGGAAACGAAUGCUAAUACCUAAUAUUAUGAUAAUAGGGCAUCCUAUAAUUAUGAAAGCUAUAAGCGCUGUGAGAGAGCUUUGCGUCCCAUUAGCUAGUUGGAGAGGUAACGGCUCACCAAGGCGAUGAUGGGUAGCCGGCCUGAGAGGGUGAACGGCCACAAGGGGACUGAGACACGGCCCUUACUCCUACGGGAGGCAGCAGUGGGGAAUAUUGGACAAUGGACCAAGAGUCUGAUCCAGCAAUUCUGUGUGCACGAUGAAGUUUUUCGGAAUGUAAAGUGCUUUCAGUUGGGAAGAAAAAAAUGACGGUACCAACAGAAGAAGUGACGGCUAAAUACGUGCCAGCAGCCGCGGUAAUACGUAUGUCACGAGCGUUAUCCGGAUUUAUUGGGCGUAAAGCGCGUCUAGGUGGUUAUGUAAGUCUGAUGUGAAAAUGCAGGGCUCAACUCUGUAUUGCGUUGGAAACUGUAUAACUAGAGUACUGGAGAGGUAAGCGGAACUACAAGUGUAGAGGUGAAAUUCGUAGAUAUUUGUAGGAAUGCCGAUGGGGAAGCCAGCUUACUGGACAGAUACUGACGCUGAAGCGCGAAAGCGUGGGUAGCAAACAGGAUUAGAUACCCUGGUAGUCCACGC